GAUGAAGAACGUAGUGAAAUGCGAUAAGUAAUGUGAAUUGCAGAAUUCAGUGAAUCAUCGAAUCUUUGAACGCACAUUGCGCCCGCCAGUAUUCUGGCGGGCAUGCCUGUCUGAGCGUCAUUUCAACCCUCAUGCCCCUAGGGCGUGGUGUUGGGGAUCGGCCAAAGCCCGCGAGGGACGGCCGGCCCCUAAAUCUAGUGGCGGACCCGUCGUGGCCUCCUCUGCGAAGUAGUGAUAUUCCGCAUCGGAGAGCGAUGAGUCCCUGCCGUUAAACCCCCAACUUUCCAAGGUUGACCUCAGAUCAGGUAGGAAUACCCGCUGAACUUAAGCAUAUCAAUAAGCGGAGGA
rnacentral:misc_RNA from 1 species